rnacentral:rRNA from 1 species
UACAGAGGGUGCGAGCGUUAAUCGGAAUUACUGGGCGUAAAGCGUGCGUAGACGGUUAUUUAAGUCGGGUGUGAAAGCCCCGGGCUCAACCUGGGAAUUGCAUUCGAGACUGAAUAGCUAGGGUACGGUAGAGGGAAGUGGAAUUUCCGGUGUAGCGGUGAAAUGCGUAGAUAUCGGAAGGAACAUCAGUGGCGAAAGCGACUUCCUGGACCAGUACCGACGUUCAGGCACGAAAGCGUGGGGAGCGAUCCGG